rnacentral:tRNA from 2 species
UCGUCACUAGCUCACCUGGAAAGAGCAUCAACCUUCUAAGUUGAGCGUACGAGGUUCGAGUCCUCGGUGGCGGUCCA